rnacentral:rRNA from 1 species
GGUUAAGCGACUAAGCGUACACGGUGGAUGCCCUGGCAGUCAGAGGCGAUGAAGGACGUGCUAAUCUGCGAUAAGCGUCGGUAAGGUGAUAUGAACCGUUAUAACCGGCGAUUUCCGAAUGGGGAAACCCAGUGUGACUCGUCACACUAUCAUUAACUGAAUCCAUAGGUUAAUGAGGCGAACCGGGGGAACUGAAACAUCUAAGUACCCCGAGGAAAAGAAAUCAACCGAGAUUCCCCCAGUAGCGGCGAGCGAACGGGGAGCAGCCCAGAGCCUGAAUCAGUGUGUGUGUUAGUGGAAGCGUCUGGAAAGGCGCGCGAUACAGGGUGACAGCCCCGUACACAAAAAUGCACAUACUGUGAGCUCGAUGAGUAGGGCGGGACACGUGGUAUCCUGUCUGAAUAUGGGGGGACCAUCCUCCAAGGCUAAAUACUCCUGACUGACCGAUAGUGAACCAGUACCGUGAGGGAAAGGCGAAAAGAACCCCGGCGAGGGGAGUGAAAAAGAACCUGAAACCGUGUACGUACAAGCAGUGGGAGCCUCUUAAUGGGGUGACUGCGUACCUUUUGUAUAAUGGGUCAGCGACUUAUAUUCUGUAGCAAGGUUAACCGAAUAGGGGAGCCGAAGGGAAACCGAGUCUUAACUGGGCGUUAAGUUGCAGGGUAUAGACCCGAAACCCGGUGAUCUAGCCAUGGGCAGGUUGAAGGUUGGGUAACACUAACUGGAGGACCGAACCGACUAAUGUUGAAAAAUUAGCGGAUGACUUGUGGCUGGGGGUGAAAGGCCAAUCAAACCGGGAGAUAGCUGGUUCUCCCCGAAAGCUAUUUAGGUAGCGCCUCGUGAAUUCAUCUCCGGGGGUAGAGCACUGUUUCGGCAAGGGGGUCAUCCCGACUUACCAACCCGAUGCAAACUGCGAAUACCGGAGAAUGUUAUCACGGGAGACACACGGCGGGUGCUAACGUCCGUCGUGAAGAGGGAAACAACCCAGACCGCCAGCUAAGGUCCCAAAGUCAUGGUUAAGUGGGAAACGAUGUGGGAAGGCCCAGACAGCCAGGAUGUUGGCUUAGAAGCAGCCAUCAUUUAAAGAAAGCGUAAUAGCUCACUGGUCGAGUCGGCCUGCGCGGAAGAUGUAACGGGGCUAAACCAUGCACCGAAGCUGCGGCAGCGACACUAUGUGUUGUUGGGUAGGGGAGCGUUCUGUAAGCCUGUGAAGGUGUACUGUGAGGUAUGCUGGAGGUAUCAGAAGUGCGAAUGCUGACAUAAGUAACGAUAAAGCGGGUGAAAAGCCCGCUCGCCGGAAGACCAAGGGUUCCUGUCCAACGUUAAUCGGGGCAGGGUGAGUCGACCCCUAAGGCGAGGCCGAAAGGCGUAGUCGAUGGGAAACAGGUUAAUAUUCCUGUACUUGGUGUUACUGCGAAGGGGGGACGGAGAAGGCUAUGUUGGCCGGGCGACGGUUGUCCCGGUUUAAGCGUGUAGGCUGGUUUUCCAGGCAAAUCCGGAAAAUCAAGGCUGAGGCGUGAUGACGAGGCACUACGGUGCUGAAGCAACAAAUGCCCUGCUUCCAGGAAAAGCCUCUAAGCAUCAGGUAACAUCAAAUCGUACCCCAAACCGACACAGGUGGUCAGGUAGAGAAUACCAAGGCGCUUGAGAGAACUCGGGUGAAGGAACUAGGCAAAAUGGUGCCGUAACUUCGGGAGAAGGCACGCUGAUAUGUAGGUGAAGUCCCUCGCGGAUGGAGCUGAAAUCAGUCGAAGAUACCAGCUGGCUGCAACUGUUUAUUAAAAACACAGCACUGUGCAAACACGAAAGUGGACGUAUACGGUGUGACGCCUGCCCGGUGCCGGAAGGUUAAUUGAUGGGGUUAGCGGUAACGCGAAGCUCUUGAUCGAAGCCCCGGUAAACGGCGGCCGUAACUAUAACGGUCCUAAGGUAGCGAAAUUCCUUGUCGGGUAAGUUCCGACCUGCACGAAUGGCGUAAUGAUGGCCAGGCUGUCUCCACCCGAGACUCAGUGAAAUUGAACUCGCUGUGAAGAUGCAGUGUACCCGCGGCAAGACGGAAAGACCCCGUGAACCUUUACUAUAGCUUGACACUGAACAUUGAGCCUUGAUGUGUAGGAUAGGUGGGAGGCUUUGAAGUGUGGACGCCAGUCUGCAUGGAGCCGGCCUUGAAAUACCACCCUUUAAUGUUUGAUGUUCUAACGUUGGCCCCUGAUCGGGGUUGCGGACAGUGUCUGGUGGGUAGUUUGACUGGGGCGGUCUCCUCCUAAAGAGUAACGGAGGAGCACGAAGGUUGGCUAAUCCUGGUCGGACAUCAGGAGGUUAGUGCAAUGGCAUAAGCCAGCUUGACUGCGAGCGUGACGGCGCGAGCAGGUGCGAAAGCAGGUCAUAGUGAUCCGGUGGUUCUGAAUGGAAGGGCCAUCGCUCAACGGAUAAAAGGUACUCCGGGGAUAACAGGCUGAUACCGCCCAAGAGUUCAUAUCGACGGCGGUGUUUGGCACCUCGAUGUCGGCUCAUCACAUCCUGGGGCUGAAGUAGGUCCCAAGGGUAUGGCUGUUCGCCAUUUAAAGUGGUACGCGAGCUGGGUUUAGAACGUCGUGAGACAGUUCGGUCCCUAUCUGCCGUGGGCGCUGGAGAACUGAGGGGGGCUGCUCCUAGUACGAGAGGACCGGAGUGGACGCAUCACUGGUGUUCGGGUUGUCAUGCCAAUGGCACUGCCCGGUAGCUAAAUGCGGAAGAGAUAAGUGCUGAAAGCAUCUAAGCACGAAACUUGCCCCGAGAUGAGUUCUCCCUGACUCCUUGAGAGUCCUGAAGGAACGUUGAAGACGACGACGUUGAUAGGCCGGGUGUGUAAGCGCAGCGAUGCGUUGAGCUAACCGGUACUAAUGAACCGUGAGGCUUAACCUU